UUUAGCCCCGUCUUUUACCUAAGAGGAAUGUGAAGUUAGAGAUGUUAAUUUUCCUACAUUUCCACAGCUUGUGUGCGAUGAACCCUAUAUCCACACAGCCUGUACCUCCAGUUCAGGCCUCUCCUUCUCCGCAGUGCCACUGCUUCUCCGGGACUCUCCCAGCUGCUCCUUAUGCACCACAACACAGGCUUCUCCACUCUCCCCAGCUGCUCCUUGUACCCCAACUCAUGUGCUUCUCCACUCUCUCUAGCUGCUCCUUGGACCCCACCGCAUAUGCUUCUCCACUCUCCCCAGCUCCUCCUUGGACCCCACAGCAUAUGCUUCUCCACUCUGCCCAGCUGCUCCUUGGACCCCACAGCAUAUGCUUCUCCACUCUCCCCAGCUGCUCCUUGGACCCUACCUCAUAUGCUUCUCCACUCUCCCCAGCUCCUCCUUGGACCCCACAGCAUAUGCUUCUCCACUCUGCCCAGCUGCUCCUUGGACCCCACCUCAUGUGCUUCUCCACUUUCCCCAGCUGCUCCUUGGACCCCACAGCAUGUGCUUAUGCUUCUCCACUCUGCCCAGCUGCUCCUUGGACCCCACAGCAUAUGCUUCUCCACUCUGCCCAGCUGCUCCUUGGACCCCACCUCAUGUGCUUCUCCACUCUCCCCAGCUGCUCCCUGGACCUCACAGCAUAUGCUUCUUCACUCUCCCCAGCUGCUUCUUGGACCCCACCUCAUGUGCUUCUCCACUCUCCCCAGCUGCUCCUUGGACCCCACAGCAUAUGCUUCAUCACUCUCCCCAGCUGCUCCUUGGACCCCACCUUGCCACUCUCCCCAGCUGCUCCUUGGACCCCACCUCAUAUGCUUCUCCACUCUCCCCAGCUGCUCCUUGGACCCCACCUCAUGUGCUUCUCCACUCUCCCCAGCUGCUCCUUGGACCUCACUGCAUAUGCUUCUGCACUCUGACCGGCUGCUCCUUGGACCCCACAGCAUAUGCUUCUCCACUCUCCCCAGCUGCUCCUUGUACCCCACAGCAUGUGCUUCUCCACUCUCCCCAGCUGCUCCUUGGACCCCACUGCAUAUGCUUU
rnacentral:lncRNA from 1 species